rnacentral:rRNA from 1 species
GACGAACGCUGGCGGUGUGCUUAACACAUGCAAGUCGAACGAAGUGGCGAACGGGUGAGUAAUACGUUGGUAACUUGCCCUCCUUUUUGUGAUAAGCCUUGGAAACGGGGUCUAAUACCGAAUAAUGGGGGAUGGGCUCGGGGCCUAUCAGCUUGUUGGUGGGGUGGUGGCCUACCAAGGCGGUGACGGGUAGCCGGCCUGAGAGGAUGAACGGCCACAUUGGGACUGAGAUACGGCCUAGGCACGUACGGGAGGGGGACGUGGGGGAUAUUGCAAAAUGGGCGAAAGCCUGAUGCAGCGAGGCCGCGAGGGGGAUGAAGGCUUUCGGAUUGUAAACCUCUUUCGCUAUAGAGCGGGUAGGUGGAGACAAAGCGCCGGCUAACUACGUGCCAGCCGCCGCGGUAAUUC